UUGACCAAAAUGCCCUUCAAACGAAGGGUAGGUACCCUACAUAUGAAGUCGUUCCAUUGAUCCAAUGAGGCAUGACCAGAGGUCACUUUCAAACAAAUCCCAAGGAUGAUUAAGUGGUAAUCAAUGAAUGUAACUGAUCUCUUAUAGGUUUUGUGUAGAGAGAGUACCAACUCAACCAACACCAUUCCUUGGUAGAAAGUUUAGAGGCAGACAGGAUGGAGCCAGGCAAUUCUAAUUAUAGUUUUCUCAUGUAUUUUUAUUUGGUAAAUUCCAAAGUAAUUCUCCAUUAUUAUUGUUCAAGAUUUAUAUACACAUAUACCAACUACCCUUUAAUUCUUCUGUGUGUGAUUCUUCUAACUUCUUUUAAUCCAAGGGAGGUGAAGAAGGAAUAAGAUGUUUAAAGCCUAAUGGGUUCGUUGGUCGGUCAUCGUCUUCAUGGGUGAAAAGUUCAUGGGAAGUAUAAACAAUUUAUAAUUAAGGGAUCUGAUUUAGUUCUGUAUCUAAUCUGAGCUUUUAAUUUUCACUUUAUCUCGUAAUGAUGAUCGAUGAGGCUGCUGCUGAUUCUUUGUUGCAUUUUCUUUCAGAUAUUCCCUUGAAUUUCAUCUGUUUAAAUAUGUGUAAUUCUACUGGAUUUAUGUAAUGAACUCGAGGCUCCUAUUGGCUACCUAACAAACUAAGUCACGAUUUUCUUAUCAUCCAAGUCAUUAUUGUCCGUUGAUUAAAUUAGAUGAUUGCAUGAUCUGUUUGUUAAUUGUUAGAUGACAUUGUGUUCGUAUUUAGUACGUAUUUAUGAUCUAUCUGAUUGCAGGGAUCAAUAUUCCAGACUACAAAAUUUCCAGAAAGUUUUCUUGAAUCCCUCUACCUCCCUCCUCCAGCUAUACUAUAUAGUUCCGACUUGAAUGCAAUAUUGUUUAGAGAAAAGAUUUUUAAGGGCACCAACUUAUUUCAGCGUCUAGUACGUACGUAUAGAUCGUUCGUCAUUGUUAUUGUCAAUAUUUAUGUAAGUUUAAGAUGAAUCAAAUAUCAAGAAAAUUAUACAUACUCGAUGCUGUAGAUGAGUGAAUCACAGUCCAAAUGUAUUGACGAACAAACAUCUGGAAUGUUAGGUACAAAUUUACAUUUAGACUCAUGAGCCUUGGCACUGCAAAUCUGCAACAUGUCUGCGCAGGAUAGGUUUAGCUUUUUGAAACUGAAGUUAACCGCACCGACACUUUUGGAUUGGAAUUUCUGUGGAAGGGAUAUUGUGCAGGUGAAAGAUACAUAAUUCAUGUUUCUUUUAAUUACUGGCUUCUCACGUGCUUGAUAAUAGAUUAUAUAUUUUUCAUGGGAGAAUUUCAUUUGAUGAUAUACAUAUAUACUUCAGCUUUUAUAUACGUAUAGGUUGCUUCCCAGCUCCUUCGUUUGUUCAGAUAUUUCUGCUGUAUACAUAUCUGUUAGUCUUUAUUUUAGGGUUCUUGAAUCUUUCAAGUAUUUUGAAUUUUUAGAAUGGAAAUCGGCCUUCAAUUAUAGAGACUUUAUUGUUUAUUUUGAGGUGUGUGUGUGUAUAUAAAAUAUUCACAUGCUUGUUCUAUUAUAGCCGUGUGUUAUAGGGCAGUGCGUGUAUGUUUUCUUGUCUGGCAUCUUUCUGUCAUGUUGUAUACAUAAGUCUGUCUAUUCCAGGAAAUCCAGGGUCAAGAAAUGCGGCAAUUUCCAAUCAUAAUUUGCUUACGGUGAUAGGAAUGAACUAUUUGCAUGUAUGAGCAUAAAACUCAUCCUAUCCUUUUGUGUUUUUUUCUAUUUCUCAUGAAUAAUCAAUCUAUAUAGGUCUGUAUGAACAUCAACAAGAUAUAGCCAUAUUAUUUGAACCAUAUUCCUAAACAUUUUAUGUGCAGCUGACAUGUCAUUGCCAUGUAAUUUAGAAGGAUAAUAUUAAGGAGACGAAAUUUUUAGAUCAAAUUUUGUAAAUCAAAUGAUGUGGCUAUUGAUAAUUGAAUUAUUACUUAAGUGUUGAUUAACAUGCUUAUUUCGUAUUAAUGACAUAUCAUUUGAUUUGCAAAGUUGGUAUAAAAUUUUGAUCUACCUUUCAUUACUCUUUAAUGAAUGAAUAAUUCUAUUUUAUGUCAAAUUUUAUUCGUUUCAUAAUUAAAAUUGUUUAUUCCUAGUAUAACUUGAAGCCUCUCAAUACUUGAAACACAAAUGUGUUUUUUUUUUUUUUUUUGAACAAACAAUAUUAUCUACACUAAGGAGGAGGGGAUGGACUUAGCCUCACAAUGAACUAGCAAUAAUGUGGUUUAAAUUCACCUUUGGCGAGAAUCAAAUCUAAGACCUCUUACUUAUAAGUGAAGAGGAAUACUACUAGACCAUAGAUGGUUACACACAAAUGUGUUUUUAGAUUAAACAAAUGAAUGCAUCAAAUAAUGGCUCUAGGGUUUCUAGGAGAGUCUCCCCCGUCUUGGGGCACCGGCGUCCUUUAUGGGGUAAAUCGAAUGAUUUUCAUCCUUGUUUAAUUAGGAUGAGUGAUUAAGGAAGAUUAUUGGUGGUGGUGGCGUAGAGUUGGCCAUGGUGUUAAGUUUAGAUUAACUAGUGGAGAUAGAGCUAAUUGGGCUAGUUUGUCUUGAUUAUUGGGCUCGGGUUUCCGUUUGAUUUGUUCAGCAAUUGGGGCUGGGUAAUUCGUAGAUUUUGUGUAGAAGGGAGGGUUUGUGAUCCUUAGAAGAUGAUUCGUCUGUUGUCAUGGUUUGGCAUGCUUACCCUGAAACCAGUGUUGUUUGGGUUUAGGUGUUUGAGAUCUAAUAUUAAGGCUAUUUAGGGUUUUAUAGGUUAAGUUGUUUCCGGUGCGUGGGAUUAACUAAGUUUAGUGGUGUGACACUUGGGUUGCCUGCCUUGAUUAACAUUUUAUUUUGUUACAAUUUUAUUUUCGGUUUUUAUGUGAUAUUUUAAUUUGCCUGCACAUUUCUGUUUGGUGGUUAAUUUCAAUAAUUAUAAGAGAUAGGUAUAUGUUCGUUUCUUGUGCUUAUUUUUGUGUGUUGUACUUGAGUGUGCGGCGUUGGUUUUGGAGUAAUGUCAUCAUUAGUUCUAGUUUGUUGAGUCCUAGAAUCAAUAGUUGGCACUUUUCCUUCAUUAUAAUCCCAUCUAGGGGUUUCAAGUGUUUUCAAGGAAGCUUGCAUGCGGAGGCGCCUCCUUUUUUGACCGUUGGAUACCUUCAAAUCUCAGCUAUUCAAGUUGGUGGUGCCGUCUGUUGGUUCACUCACUUCUGUCUUCUAGCCUUUUAUCCUUUUGUCCUUCUAUUUCUUUUCCAAUGGCCAACUCUCAAUUUGCUGCUUUCAGUUCAAACCUAACCAGGAAAACCAAAAUCUGUUCUAACCAAUAUAUUCCCCGUUGGGCUAACGCUUUUCCGGUUCCUCAACCCGGGGAGGAUCGUGUAGUGGUGGAUAAGGCAUUUGGUACCUUCAGAAGGAGCAAGGGGUUACAAGGGUUAGUACCAGUCUGUGUUCUACUCUUAAUGUUGAGCACAUGCAAGCUAGAGUUCUGAUGGGAAAUAUGUUUGGGCAACCUUUGGAGGCAAGGUUAAUCAAGUGGAAGCUAGGGCUACUUUGGAAAAAUGAUGUUAAGCACACUUUCUACCUUGACCAUUAUGGUAGGAAGUGGUUGGCUUUAGAAUUCACUGGAGUGUGUUCUAACAACCGCCCAUGGUAUGUCCGUGGACAAAUUUUCUACUUGGAGAGGUGGACGCCUAACUUCAGUUAUUUGUACACAAUCGAUAAGCUUGUUGUAUGGGCGAGGCUGCCUAGGCUUCCUGUUCGGUAUAAGGAGGAAAAUAUUAUCAAGGUGAUCGCUUAACCCUUGAGUGGUAUCAUUAAGGUUGAUGAGAUCCCGCUGGUUCUGAACGGUGUUUUUGUUAAGGGUGUUGGUUGAAGUGGGUUUGCAUUUUCCUCUGAAAAGUCCUCAUUAUCCAUAACGAUGAUGACCACCCGAUUCUAGUAAGUUAUAAAAGCUUUUUGAGGUGUGUUUUUAUUGUGGUAGAAGAAGGUUUGAUGGACAUGAGUGUGCAGAAAGUGAAGUGGAUAAUAGUUGUUUUCUUACUGAGAUGGUGUUUGAGAUGAGCGUCUCAUCUAUCCUGGGGAUACUAGGGUAGAUGAAGAUGUGAAGGGGGCCUUGCAAAAUGAUGUGAUGUAGUGUUUUCCUUUUACGGUCCCGCAUGAUGAUGAAGCGGUGGACAGUGAAGAGAUUUGACAGAAAUUUGGGUGGGAUCAUCAUCAGGAAGAUGGGUGGACUACGGCAGCCCCAAAGUGGAAGAAGAAAGUAGAGAAGCGUCAACUGACUGAGGAAAUGGGGGAGGGCAGGUCUCAGAGGGAUUUGGGCAAAGAGGGGAAAGUUGCAAAGUACAAGUGGACACUUAGGGUUGACCUAGUGCAAGACUGGAGAAGGUCUCCGAGGCAUGAGGAUGCAAUGAAUGAGGGAUGUUGUGGAUGCUGUCGUGGCUGAAGAAAGAAAUUUGCUGCCGCCGCCACCACCUAGGCCUAGAGUUGGAGUGAUGAGUCCGAGGAAGGGGAUCCGUGAGGAGUUUGUGAAUCAGGAGGGACCUAGUUAUUUGAACGAGAGUAUCUGUAGUGGAACUGCAGAGGGUGGGAAAGACCAGAGUUUUGUAGCAAUUUUAAUCCUGAUGGUAGUGCGGUGGCCUGUGUUUGUUCCGGAAUUCCUCUGCAGUUACUAUUAAUAUAAUGAAUCAUUGUUCUAGAUUUAUUCAUUGCCAGGUUCAAGA